UGACAGUUGACACGCCAUUUCAAAACAAGGCUCUAAUGUCACGAGACGCCGAACUGCAACAGCGACGCCAAACAGGGAUACGUGAGACGUUUUGGCAAGGCUGGAGGACUCGAAGAAGCGCAAGGCUGCUGCGCAGAAGGGGACGCUCGCCGAGCUACUGCCACGGUCACUUCAGCCAGGGCGACAGCCAAGGAACUUGUCAAAGCAGCAGUUUGAAAAGGUGUUUGAUAUGCUGAAAAACAGGUGUGGAAACACUUUAGUCAUGGGCCAUAGGAUUAAAAACACACUGACCAAAUCAUCGGAAACUUCAAAUGAAG